UCCUGCACCGUCUUGCCUCUCCUGCCGGAGUYGGUGGGCCGCUGGAUGGGGGAUCUGCCGGAGCAGGCGACAGUGGUUAGGGUGACUCAGCGGAGCGAUGCUUUUGACAGCUGUUUGCGGAAUGACAGAUCAUUUCAUUGCCUUGUCUGUCAAGGCGUCCUCGCUUGGAGCCUGUUCUUGCUUGUGGAGUUCUUUCAACAAACAGCAYCGAAUACCACGACAAGUCUGUCUCUGCACCUGUGUAGGCCGAGCAAGAGUGAGGCGCCAUGUCGGCCACCGACAGAGACGACUACCGACACGAUCUGGUAACCUUGACUACAGYCAAAGCCUCCAUAUUUGGACGUUAGCCUGAUUAGCAACCAUCAUAUGCAGAGAGGCCACGCUACAGCAACCAUUUUUAUCAACAAAUUCUAGAUGGACAGCAAAACCUUUUUUAUGGUGAAAAACACACAAAUCUCAGGCUCUGAUACCAGAACAACCUGAACGAUUCUGAUCCUGAUUCGAGCGAUGGUGAUGACCAUAGAAGAUCCUGACUGUCAUCCUACGCAAGGGGAAGACAUAACGUCUUUUGAGUCCAUGAGCAAGGAGGAGACUAGCCCAUCUUCAAAACCAGCAGCCCAUAAGAGGAGGCGUAAAGAAAAAAACUGUAGUAACUAAACCUCUUCUGUUCACCUCCACACCCAAAGAAUGCCACUCCCAGGAUAUGGAGAUAUGAAGACAUUUGAUGAAUUCAGUGCUCCUGAUUCUGUAUCUGAAGCUCCUGAUGCUGUAUAGACACCCUUGCAGUAUUUCACUGAUGAGACGAUUCACCAUAUUGCUCAGCAUAACCUUUACUCUGGAUCCCCCAUGUCUGGGCCAGUCAACUGAAGCCCUGUGGACACUGAAAAUGUCCUUGCGAUGCUGAUCUUCAUGAGUGUUUUCAGCUUCAAAGCCAUGGAGGACUAUUGCCACCAUGAUUCCCGUUACAACCUGAUAGCUGAUAUCAUUCCAAGGAAAAGAUUCAAGCUCUUGCGCCAAUUCAUUCAUUUUCAUUUUAUGACAACUUUGGACACUUGCCACUUCAGUGUCCGAACGGUGCCCGGAUGGAUGCCCGCUUUCAGUGCUUUGUUACGUAUCACCAGAAACAAAAGGACUUAGAUGCCUCACAACUGCAGUUGCAGUUGGUUCUACAGCGCUACAACUAUUUGGUUCCUGUUGUAUCUACUUUGUUAGCUAGCCAAACAAAAAAGAAUAUAACAGCUUUACGAGGCUUUUAGCCUUUUUUCUUUUUUUUUCCAUAAAGGGUUAUCUCAAUCUUUUGGUAGUUUUCUGUGUUUUUAAAACUACUAAAAAAGUAAAAGCUUUAUUAUUGAUAAUCUAAGGCAGGAAGGUCUGCAACACAAAUGGUUUAAGAGUCCAGUCAAAGUCUAAGGUAAAAUUCUGUUGUAAUGGUGCGACAUUACCUUAAACUGGCUAGUUUUGAUUAAAACUGUACAAAAUGGCCGAAAUAAAACUGUUCUGUGAAUUGAGGGACAGUUCAUUACCAUUCAUCAAAGGAGACAAAACGGCAAUUUUGCCUCAAAUGGUGACACUGGUUAUAAAGCUUAAAGAGCAAUUAUUUUUUCACAUAAGGUCGUUGGUUUGAAUAGCUUUUGUCUUUACUAAAUGAAACCAUCAGUGAAAAAGUUCAUAUCGUAUCACUUCUUGUUAUAUUUGUCUGAUAUGCAAAUUUCUGAUUAUCUAUAAAAAUUAAAAACAGAUGGAAAACGUAACAAGGCAAACACUUUUCAAAGCACUCUAAACGUUGCAGAAAGGAGGAUUUUUGAGGAUCACAAAAAAAAAACGAAAUGCAGAGUCAUGGACCAUUUAAUGAUCUUCAGAAGUAAGUUAAACAACCAUUUAUGUUACAGUUUAAAAUGUCCUCAUAGAGGAACAGCAAAAUACACUCAAAAUGAAGGUUGAUCAAAAGACAUUUUUUUUUCAUAUUAAUCACUGUUUUAAGACUGUUUUUUUUUCUUCUUUCAUUUGUAUAUCAAAAAUUAUAAGUGCCUUCAACAUAACCAUGAGAGUUUUCAGCUUGCAGUCAUAGAAAUAUUUACACCACAAAACUGACAAGCAUGGUUUUACUUUCAGCAUCGGUUUCACACGCUUCAUCUCCCGCCUCUUUUUAAAGACUGCUUUGUUUUGUUUCACAAAACAAAAAUAAAGACCCUGAAUAAAGACAACUGCAAAGUGAGAGGGAGGGAGUGGGGGGCUGGCGGGGCGGGGCAGCUACGCGGGAGCACAGAUAAGAGACGUGGGUAUUUACAGCUCGGCUCUACGAGACAGACAGGAGGAAGGAUGGAAACAGAUGAUCAACACAUCCAUUAGCGGCAUAACGUCAAGUUUAAGUCACAUUCUUUGCCUUUAUGAUCCUACCUUACAAUUUAAGAUAUGAAAAUAAAGCAUGCUAUACAACAGGUGACACAAAGUAGUGGCAUGAAUAAAUUUAGUAUGCAGACUUCCAUAUAUUAAGGGGACGGGUUUCAGACACCAGGGGGCAGUACAGGACAACGUGGGGAAUGACAAAAGACAAAAAAAACCAACAA